rnacentral:rRNA from 1 species
AUACGUAGGGGGCGAGCGUUGUCCGGAAUGAUUGGGCGUAAAGGGCGCGUAGGCGGCGCGGUAAGUCUGGAGUGAAAGUCCUGCUUUCAAGGUGGGAACUGCUUUGGAUACUGCCGCGCUUGAGUGCAGGAGAGGUUAUCGGAAUUCCCGGUGCAGCGGUGAAAUGCGUAGAGAUCGGGAGGAACACCAGUGGCGAAGGCGGGUAACUGGACUGCAACUGACGCUGAGGCGCGAAAGUGUGGGGAGCAAACAGGAUUAGAUACCCUGGUAGUCCACACUGUAAACGAUGAAUGCUAGGUGUAGGAGGUAUCGACCCCUUCUGUGCCGCAGUAAACACAGUAAGCAUUCCGCCUGGGGAGUACGGUCUCAAGAUUAAAACUCAAAGGAAUUGACGUGG